CAUGAAAGCUUCCUGACAUAGUGCAAAUUCAAGUUUGUUAAAAUCAUGACCCCUGGAGGAAGGAUGGGGCCACAAUAAGAGAUCAAAGAUUUACAUGCAAAUAUAUAGGGGAAAUCCUUAAAAAUCUUCUCAAGAAACACUGGGCCAGAAAUGCUGAGCUUCCUGACAUAGUGCAGAUUUAAGUUUGUUAAAAUCAUGACCCCCAGGGUAGGAUGGGGCCACAAUAGGGGAUCAAAGUUUUACAUACAAAUAAAUAGAGAAAAUCUUUUGAAAUCUUCUCAAAAACCAUUGGGCCAAAGAAUUUUAGAUUUCCAUGAAAGCUUCCUGGCAUAGUGCAGAUUCAAGUUUGUAAAAACCAUGGUCUCCGGGGGUAGGUUGGGGCCACAAUAAAGAUCAAAGUUCUACAUGUGAAUAUAUAGGGAAAAUCUUUAAGGUGACUCACGUGAGCAAUGUGGUUCAUGGGCCUAUUGUUUCAUCAUUCUGCAGCAAAGAUAGGCACCUGAUCUUGACCAAGCCGACCAAGUAAUGAUAUACCAGUACAUAUACUGUAUACAGGGAAAUAUUCACCCCAUUUUAUUUUCGCAGAUGCCAAAUUUAAGAUGGUUUUUUCUCUUAUCUCUCUUUUAAUACAAUUACAUCCUGACAAAUUUGAAAUGGGCGCAAAACCAUCUGCAAGUGUAGAAGGGCAAAAAUAAGACGGGGUGUGGGUUGGGGUGAAAACAACUCUUUAUACAGUAAUUACAUGGAAAUAUAAAAACUAGCAUUACUGGUCCAUGCCAAUAAACAACCAUCAUUUUAUUAUUGUAGGGACAGGAGGAUCCAAUUAUAUCUAAGUAAUAAAAUUUAUAUUUACUCUCUAAUUAUACAGUGAAACUUCUCCAAACCGGCCCCUCAGAAAACCGCUCCUCCCCAAAUAUCGGCCGAUUUCCAAAGUCCAGGCAGAAAUCUUAACAGCCCAGUAGCUAAGUACUUCGUUACUAGCUUGAAAAGACGGAUGUAUAUUUAAUUGCAUGUUAUAAAAUUUAGAAAUUCAUUUCAAAAUUAAGGAUUAUCUCCCUCAUGCAUAGCUCUUAUCCUUGGGCGAAUUUGGCUCCACUUGUUUGGCACGCUGUUUUUGGCUAUAUUUAGAUCUAAAACUUCAUAGUUAUUUCGGAUUUCAAACAUUUCGGUUGAGCAUCACUGAAGAGACAUUAUUUGUCGAAAUGGGCAUCUGGUGCAUCAAAAUUGGUACCGUAUAAGUUUUACAUUAUAUUCCUUAUACAAAGAAAUUCUUACAAAACCAGCAACCCCUAAAAAAUGGACAGCGGCCACCUUUUAUAGAUCAUUUGUUAACAAACGUGUAAUUUCCCCUCAUAAUACAAUCCACUUUUUUAAGACCAGAAAAUUUUGGUCAGAGGGCCCUCUUAUAGAAAAUAGGUACAUUUCGGGUACCUUAAUUGGGUACAAUAAAAAGUACCCGAAAUGUAUCCGAAACUCUACCCUUUUUGAAACCGCACUUUAAUUAUUUUUUUUUUACUUCCAGGCGGGUACUUUUUUUCAGGUACAUUUUUCUCUCCGAUACAACUUUUAAGUUUUUAAUUUUUGGGGUACCUUUUUGGUACGCAUUGGGUACAAUAAAAAGUACCCAAAAUGUACCUGGAAUGUACCCAAAAAGGCACCCAAAACUAUACCCUUUUUGGAACCGCACUUUAAAAUUCUUUUUACCUGCAGGCUUGUACUUUUUGUUUCCCACGCAACUUUUAAUUUUUUAAUUUUUGGGGUACGCAUUGGAUAUAGUAAAAAUUACCCAGAAUGUACCCAAAAGGUACCUGGAAUGUACCCAAAAAGGCACCCAAAACUAUACCCUUUUUGGAACCGCACUUUAAAAUUCUUUUUACCUGCAGGCUUGUACUUUUUGUUUCCCACGCAACUUUUAAUUUUUUAAUUUUUGGGGUACGCAUUGGAUAUAGUAAAAAUUACCAAGAAUGUACCCAAAAGGUACCUGGAAUGUACCCCAAAAAGUACCCGAAACUGUACUCUUUUUGGAACCGCACUUUAAUUUUUUUUUUACCUCCAAGCGGGUACUUUUUCGGGUACAUUAUUCUUUCCCAUACAGGGGGCCUCCGUGGCCGAGUGGUUAGAGCAUCGCGCUCAAAAUGACACGGCCUCUCACCUCUGUCGGCGCGGGUUCGAAUCCCGCUCGAGCCGGUAAGUGAGAAAGUUUCCCAGUUUACUUUCAGAAGGUCGGUGGUCUCUUCCCAGGUACAUUGUAUCUGGGUUCUCUCUUCCACUAAUAAAAAUUGGGCGCCACCAUAUAACUGAAAAAUUGUUGAGUGUGGCGGAAAACAUCAAUCAAUCAAUCAAUCAAUCAAUCAAUCUUCCCCAUACAACUUUUUAAGUUUUUAAUUUUGGGGGUACCUUUUGGGUCCUUUUUGGGUAUGCAUUGGGUACAGUAAAAAGUACACAGAAUGUACCCAAUAGGUACCUGGAAUGUGCCCAAAAGGGUAUCCGAAACUAUACCCUUUUUAGAACCGCACUUUAAAAUUUUUUUUACCUCCAGGGAGGUACUUUUUCGGGUACAUUUUUCUUUCCCAUACAACUUUUAUUUUUUUAUUUUUGGGGUACCGUUUGUGUACUUAUGGGGUAUGCAUUGGGUACAGUAAAAGGUACCUGGAAUGUACCCAAAAGGGUACCCGAAACUAUACCCUUUUUGGAACCGCACUUUAAAUUUUUUUUUUACCUCCAGGCGGGUACUUUUUCGGGUACAUUAUUCUUUCCCAUACAGGGGGCCUCCGUGGCCGAGUGGUUAGAGCAUCGCGCUCAAAAUGACACGGCCUCUCACCUCUGUCGGCGCGGGUUCGAAUCCCGCUCGAGCCGGUAAGUGAGAAAGUUUCCCAGUUUACUUUCAGAAGGUCGGUGGUCUCUUCUCAGGUACAUUGUAUCUGGGUUCUCUCUUCCACCAAUAAAAAUUGGGCGCCACCAUAUAACUGAAAAAUUGUUGAGUGUGGCGGAAAACAUCAAUCAAUCAAUCUUUCCCAUACAACUUUUUAAGUUUUUAAUUUUGGGGGUACCUUUUGGGUCCUUUUGGGGUAUGCAUUGGGUACAGUAAAAAGUACACAGAAUGUACCCAAUAGGUACCUGGAAUGUACCCAAAAGGGUACCCGAAACUAUACCCUUUUUAGAACCGCACUUUAAAAAUUUUUUUACCUCCAGGCAGGUACUUUUUCGGGUAUAUUUUUCUUUCCCAUACAACUUUUAAUUUUUUUAUUUUUGGGGUACCGUUUGUGUACUUAUGGGGUAUGCAUUGGGUACAGUAAAAGGUACCUGGAAUGUACCCAAAAGGGUACCCGAAACUAUACCCUUUUUGGAACUGCACUUUAAAUUUUUUUUUACCUGCAGGCAGGUACUUUUUUGGGUACAUUUUUCUUUCCAUAAAACUUUUUAAGUUUUUAAUUUUUGGGGUACCUUUUCACCAUGCCAGGGUACAUUAUUAUUUCAAACUUUCUAAGUUUCAAGUUUUAGGAUACCUUAAUGUUCUUAUUGAUACAAUCCGAGUACAUUUUAAGUACUUUUCAGGUACAAUCCGGAUUCCGUUUCAGGUACCAUUUUAGAAACUUUUCGGCUACAUUUUAGGUACAACUCCGGUACUAUUUUAGGUACUUUUUGGGUACAUUUAUUGGUAAAAUCUGGUUACCAAUUUAGACAGUUUUCAGCUACAAACUGAGUACAUUUUAGGAACUUUAGGCCUAAAAAAAAUUAAUUACUUGGUUCUCAGGCCCGCCCGCAUCUCUUUUAAUAAUGCACAUUACCCAUUUUUAUCAUUAAAUGAAUAAAAUAAGAUUUAUCUCAUGCGCUCGUAAGAUGCUUAAAAAAAUCCGGAAACCGCGACCGCAUUUAAGAGACUCCCGUCAGUUAAAUGUUUGACAAACGUCUGGAUGAUACAGACAUGUGCAAUCAAAUCGCGCCAUACAUAAUAGAGUUUUGUUUGAGUAAUGGCAGCCCCCAUAUCUAACCCGUGUUGUCGCCUUUACCAAGACAUUUUGUCUGGAAAAAAAAUCACGGACGAUUUUAGGAGAACGUUUUGGGGUUUACGAUCAACUUCUAGAGAUAAUUGAUAAUGUACCUCGCCCAAAUAACGAUAAAGGACAGUAUGUGCAGGAAUAAACUGAACAAAAUCGGCAAAAUUGAUUACCGUAUCAAAACGAAAGUAGAAACGCUGAAAUCUGAAUGACAUGUUUUGAUACGCGAUUUACGCCUUAAACACAAAGAUGACAUAGGCUUACAGCAAUUAUACACACUUAAAUAAAAAACAAUAUUGUUGUUUUCAUCUGUCAACUCCAUUUUGCAAACAGACACAUGUAACAGAAAUUAUAACACAUGAUCUGAUUCACUGGGUUUUGACACAAUCUGAGCAAACUGGUAUAUAUCGUAUAUGUUCCCUCCAAUAUGCUUUUGCUGUGCAGAUAACACAGUUGAGCAAAUUGAAGGGGCUUAUCCCACUUGUGAAAGCUGAAGGGCUUAAUUACCAAUUGCCACACAAAAAGAAAGAAUGUAGAAAAUGCAAGAGAAAAAGAAAGAGAAGGAAAUAAUGUUCUUAAUUUCUUUCUAUGUGUAUUGAGCAAUGGAUUAAUUUAAGAAUGGGAGUUUUGAAAUAAUUUUAAAAAAAAAAUCUUUCGUCUGUUUUUUAUGAGGUAAAAAGGAAAGAAAAAAGGUCUCCCUCCCUCAUUUAUUUUUGACAAAACUGGCCUGAGAACCAAGAAAUUCUUUUUUUGGUCUUACGGGUACAAUUUUAGGUACACACUGGGAACAUUUUAGGUUUUUACCAGGUACAGCAUAGGUACCAUUUUAGGUACACUCUGGGUACCAUUUUAGGCACUUUUCGAGUACCAUUUAGGGCAUUUUCCAGACUUUACUUGCCCCUCCUAAAGUAUAUUUGACUAACGUACUUUAAAUGUACUGGAGUUCUGCUAGUUUUCAUGAAUAUUACCAACCAAUAUGUGUUCUGAAAAAAUGAAGAAUCUUAAUAUAUGAGAAAUUGUAUUUAAUUCAUAGUGUAAAAAAUUAUGACAAAGCUUCUCUUCUUUGUAAUCAUAUUUCUCCUGCAAAUAAUACAUGUAAUAAAAAAAAACAUUUAAUGAAAUAUAAUCAAACCAAAUCACAAUACGAAUGUACUUUACUGCACUCUUCUUUUGUCUUUAAUUCGGUUGACUUGACGAUCUAAAUUAUCUUUAUUUUAUACCUGUCUCUGUUAUACUCGGGGGCCAUACUUUUUACAAACUUUGCACUAUGUUAGGAAGCUUUCAUGUAAAUUUCCACUUUCCUGGCCCAGUAGUUUUUGAGAAGAAGAUUUUUAAAGAUCUUCCUUAUAUAUUUGUUGUAUGCAAAAACUUUGAUCCCAUAAAUAAUUAUUUCUAAUCACUUACGUCAUUUGUGCUAACAACUUAAAUUUUUACUUGUCAAUUGAUAACUCUUACUGUUCCUUCGGACCAAUCAGAUUAAAAUCAGCUCCUCGUAUAGCAACAACAUAAAAAUAAAGGAGCAGAUCGAGCUGAUUUUAAUCAUAAUGCCGACAUUGUUAUUUCAGUUUGAUCUGCUUUGUAUAUAAAUUAAGAGUGGUUAAACUAUGAGGAGUUACAAAUGAAAUAUCACUACUGUGUCUAGCGAGUAGAUAUCUAGUUGAUGCAAAUCGCGGGUUUAAUAAUCAAGUGCCUGGUAGAUAUUAAUGAAAAUCGUCCCAGUGUCCGAUAAUAGACACAUUUAAAGUAGCAAAUUUCAUCAUCCUUCUUUACAAAAAACACAUGAGUUACAUAAUUCAAGAUACCUUAUGUGACCUUAUGAUGAUCUUCACUGCACAUAAGGAAAGCAAGGAUAACAGUCAGUGUUAUCCUUGCUUUCCUUAUGUGCAGUGAAGAUCAUCAGACACAAAAUAUGUGAAAGGGAUAAGAAUCAGAGGAAUUUCUGAUUAUUAGUGAUCAUAACUGGUAUGAAGUCAAAGAACCUACAAGAUACUCUAGUGUGGAAAUCACUUACUUAAUGGUUUGAAGUCUCUUCAGGAUUACACCACGAACUCACUCAAGUCCCUGUUGAAGGCUAUUCUCUGUCUGUUCAUAAUGUUUACAGUAGGUCACAACAUAAUAAACAUGGCGUCUGCAUGCUGAAUUUGUGCGGGAACUUGAGUGCACACCCGAUGCUUUUGAUCAGGAACCCGAUCUCAAUUUACGGUUGAUAGAGCCAAGUACUGUGAGGACCUGCUCUGGAUUGAUUAUUUAAUUAAUUAAUAAGUUAACUAGGUUAAAAAUACUAUGAUGCUCUUCAAUAAUUUCCUUCUGCAGGGACAUCUUUUGACAUACAGUGUAUAUCAAUAUUAGAAAAAAACAACCCCCCCCCCUCCACCAAAAAAAAAAAAACCACCCCCCAAAAACCCAAACCAAACACAGAUAGAUCUAUAUAUAGAAUUAAUUGAAAAUUAAAUUCAUUGAUUGUCACAUAAUUGUUUUUUAUGAAAUUGCUGCUAACUAAUAUACAUGUAGUAUUAUCAAGUUCAAAAGACUAUCUUACUACUAGGUCUACAAUAAUUAUUGUUAUUAUAUGAUUGAAUAAUUCCUAGCUCUCAUUGGCUGAGAUCCAACAAUGUAGAAAUCAUACUACGUUAUGUUUACCUGCACGUGACCUUCCAGGUGACCAUAAUAAAUAGGGCCACACAGUCUCGCGCAGUCUUGCUUCCGGUGGAACUUUCGGAGACAAGCACACAUUUAUCAGCAUAGCAAUAGAUUAUGAAUUGGCUUAUUUAAGUUAAAAGAAACGAUCAUAACUUUUUAUUCGUGUUUGCGUGUUGUCAACUUGGUUUACGGCGAACAUGUAAGAUGUCCAGGAUCCUAUCUACUCCUGGGUUGGCGAAAAAACGGGGAAAACAAUGCAGGUACUAAUGUAAACAAUCGAUGUCAAAACACAUAUUUACACGUUUUCUCUGUAUUUCACGAAUAAAUAUUUCGUAAAUAUACAUUUACAUUUGCAGAGAUGACUGAAAACAACAGAAGCAAUAGCUGUUUAAGGACGGUGUGAAGGAUAAAGACCCCACCCCCCCCCCCCUCUUCACCAUUUAACAGCUGUUUAAUAGCUUCGACUUUCAUAUUAUAGUGGCGGAUUGUUAGUCCUCCCCCUUUUCUUCCGCCACAAAGGCAUUACUGGCAUAUAUAGCUGAAAACUCCAGAUUUGGCACCCAAAAUGGUUUAUUUGAAGAUAAUGGGUCUACUGCUUGGUGGUUUAUUGGAUUGUGAAAAGUGACACUGGAUUAACGAAUUACCAGAGCAAUCCAUUCCAGGGCAGAUUAUGAAAGCUGCUUUGCUCUUGUUGAUUUUAAUAUCUUCUGAUAUACAAAUACAGAUUAAGUAUUAAAAAUAAAAUAAAAGUCUUC